UACGAAGGGGGCUAGCGUUGCUCGGAAUCACUGGGCGUAAAGCGCACGUAGGCGGAUUGCUAAGUCAGGGGUGAAAUCCUGGAGCUCAACUCCAGAACUGCCUUUGAUACUGGCGAUCUUGAGUCCGGGAGAGGUGAGUGGAACUGCGAGUGUAGAGGUGAAAUUCGUAGAUAUUCGCAAGAACACCAGUGGCGAAGGCGGCUCACUGGCCCGGUACUGACGCUGAGGAGCGAAAGCUAGGGGAGCAAACGGG
rnacentral:rRNA from 1 species